rnacentral:lncRNA from 1 species
AAAAGUAGUACAUAACACUGUAAAAAUAUAAUUGAGAAAGAGCAGGUGGGAUUUUUAUUUAUUUCCAUUUACUGUCUAAAAGAAAUGCACUACGAAAUAACUGUGUACUCGGACCUAAGAGGUGAAAUCUUGAAAACUAGAAUCUGUACUUUGGCAACUUCCCUGAAUGAUUAAAUGGUUUCAAUAUGUCAAAUAGCAUGAAAGUAAAGGAUUUUAACUUUUAUGUGAUAGAAAUUCUGCAAAAAU